AAGUCGUAACAAGGUUUCCGUAGGUGAACCUGCGGAAGGAUCAUUAUUGAGUCCAUCCAGCUUUUUUUCUGGCAGUGCAUUUACUUGCACGCCGGGGAGAGUUGGCUCUUUGACUUUACACACCUGUGCACCUUCGGACUGCAUUUAUCCGUUCGACAUGAUUUCCUUAGAAAAAAUCUUGUUGGCACUUUCUGCUCUUCGGAGUGGGACUCGAGCGUUGCGGUGAGUUUUCUCAUAGCUCGCUUUGGGGAGAAGGCGUCCGCUUUUUUUUUACACCUUUUUGUAUGUCAUUGAAUAUCUUCGGUUGCUCUGUGAUGGAGUGAUCGUUAAAAUAAAAUACAACUUUCAGCAACGGAUCUCUUGGCUCUC
rnacentral:misc_RNA from 1 species